CUUUGUUCAUCUGCUGUGUGACUGCAACACCUGGAAACAUGUUCCUUUACCUGUUUGGACUUUUCUCUCACUUCAUAGCUCUGGGCUCCAUGAACAGCAUAAAGCAGGAAAGUGCUGAAGAAGUUGUUGCAGAGGGAGGAAACAUCAACCUGACCUGUAAAUAUGAUGGUCUUAUCAACAAUAUCCAGUGGUACCGACAAUACCAGAGAUCCAGACCAGAGUUCCUGCUCUCCAUCACAGAGGGAGGAUCGAUUUAUCCAACUCUGUCUGCUUUCUCAGCUCACAUUAACAAAGCAGAGACACGUGUAGCUCUGGAGAUCAUCUCUGCUGCAGUGACAGACUCUGCUGUGUACUUGAUACUGUUUCUCACCUGUGUGAGUUCUUAG